UUAAAUAUGAAAGAGAAGAAGAAUAGAAGAGUGAGAAGUGGCUCUGAAAAUCAGAAGGCCUAAGACCUAUGACAGAAUUAAUGGAUUUGGAGGUUUUCACGCUUUCCUCAGAUAAUCACUACGAGUUUUUGGCAGUGCCUCUCCGCAAGAGGCUCUGGGUCUGUGUUGCUGAAUUGGCCUGUGUCCUCAAAGCACGUUCCAGCUUUCAAGGGGAAAAUGACAAGGUGGAAGAUGAGCAAUGGACUGAAUUG